AGCGAUAGGCACAGAGGAAGGUAGAUGAAGCCCCGCGCCCCCCUGGCGGAGCCCAGCCCUGUUCACCGCGUGCUGUGCGGGUGCCUGUGCCAGGAUCAGCUGGCUGGACGGCUAUAGCCCCACGCCUGCAGGCCACAUACCUGGGAGAGUGUGGGCCUUCCGAGCCUUCUGGCUCCCGGCCCCACAGAGGAAUUACGGUCCCAUGUCCCUCACAAGGACCCUUGCAGAGGGAGCAGUGCAUCGGCACAGAGCAGGACACAGGGGAGCCGGGCUGAGGCUGCGGGUCCCUUGUGGCCGCCAGGUGCUCACGCGUGCCUCGGUGGGGAUCUGGCAGCCAGAUUUGGGCCGCGGCGAGUCCUUUGCACAUGUUGGCAACACACGCAUCCGCAUCGGCCUCCCUGCCCACAAAGCGCCACAACGGUGACCAGCCGGAGCAGCCGGAGCUGAAGCGGAUCAAGACAGAAGACGGCGAGGGCAUCGUCAUUGCCCUGAGCGUGGACACGCCACCGGCAGCCGUAAGGGAAAAGGGUGUCCAGAACUAGCGACCGGGAGAGCUUUUCUUUAACGAUAUCA
rnacentral:lncRNA from 10 species